UACUACCAAGACUGUUUGAGAAUCCCCAA
rnacentral:piRNA from 1 species